rnacentral:siRNA from 1 species
UUGACCCAACUCAUUUGAUGG